AUUGAACGCUGGCGGCAUGCCUUACACAUGCAAGUCGAACGGUAGAGGGGGCAACCCCUCGAGAGUGGCGAACGGGUGAGUAAUAUAUCGGAACGUGCCCAGUCGUGGGGGAUAACGUAGCGAAAGUUACGCUAAUACCGCAUACGAUCUAAGGAUGAAAGCGGGGGAUCGCAAGACCUCGCGCGAUUGGAGCGGCCAAUAUCAGAUUAGGUAGUUGGUGGGGUAAAGGCUCACCAAGCCAACGAUCUGUAGCUGGUCUGAGAGGACGACCAGCCACACUGGAACUGAGACACGGUCCAGACUCCUACGGGAGGCAGCAGUGGGGAAUUUUGGACAAUGGACGCAAGUCUGAUCCAGCCAUUCCGCGUGCAGGAUGAAGGCCCUCGGGUUGUAAACUGCUUUUGUACGGAACGAAAAGGUCUCUCUUAAUACGGGGGGCUCAUGACGGUACCGUAAGAAUAAGCACCGGCUAACUACGUGCCAGCCGCCGCCGUAA
rnacentral:rRNA from 1 species